AGUUGCUAACAGAGUAAAAAGACAGCAGCAGACUGCUUAACUUGCUGGAUACAUUUUCAUAAAAUAUUUUUAUCCUGGAGCAGGACAGAGCAAGGCAUCAAGAAAACAUUUCUGUACCAUGUACCAACAAUUGGAGCUACUUGGAUAAGACUGGGGUUUGUCCUGCCUGUUCACACACCUCAGGCCAGAGGACCUGGAAUAACUUCAUAUUCUCCAUGAGAUUCAACACAGAACUGAUCUGGCCUUUUAGAAGGUUUAUCAGAGUUCUGAGAAUUUAGUUCCUUAACAUUUAAUCCUCAAACACUAAAUGUGAUGGAGCCAAGUGAGGAAGCACAGCUGAGAGCCAACCCUGAGCUCCUGAACACUGCCAGCCAGCCAUCACCUUCAGCACAGGCAAAAGGCAAGUUUCAAGAAAUUUAAAAUCUAAUUGCAUAUGAUGUUUUGUUUUCUUAAUGCAAGUGUUUACUAGCCAUGUUUGUCUGACCAUCCUUUGCCUGGGAUUUUUCCAGUUUGCCUCCAGAUUCGAGGUGCAAGUCUUCCUACAUGAUAAUUAUAUAUCAUCAUUUCAUCUGCUUUUCCUACUGAUCAGCUGCUCAAGAAACACAUGUUUCCCAGAUCAGAAUUUCUAACUCCUAUAUACUUUCUCAUCUUGAAGUCAAAAAGGAAAAAAAAACACCCUGUUUUCAAGGAGCUUUCUGGAAAAGAAAGGGUUGUGUGGAGACCUCACAGCACCUGCCAGGGUCUGAAGGGGACCUCCAGGGAAGUCAGAGAGGGACUCUUCAUGAGGAACUGGAGUGACAGGACAAGGGGCCAUGGCUUCAAACUGGCAGAGGGGCCAGUGACUCUGCAAAAGACUUCCAGGUCAAUUGUCCUGCUCCCCAGCACAAGCAAGAAUUGUGUUUACCUCAGCUUCUGCUAUGAGCUGCAUUUUCCUCGUUAUCACGUGGUCCACAUCAACCCAGCCUAAGGAAGGAAAGCAAAUAUUCAACAUUUUUUGUUGUAUGUCUGAAAACACAAAAAGCACAGCAUACAGUAGUUCAGACACCAAUUUUUCAAUAGCAUUUCUGACUUCUAACAGGGUCCCACUAAACUCAGGUCACAUAAACUGUCACCAUGUAUUUUAGGAUCACAGCACUGUAAGGCAGCCAACAGCUGAGAACAUGCUGGAUUUUAUUUUUCAUCAGCAACUGCAAUUUUUUCCAAGGUCUCUAAACAUAUUUAGCCUUGAAGCAGUAAUCAGAAUGACCCUUAGAAGGUCAUUUCCAAGUGUCCUCAUUUUUUAUCAGGGUUUUAUCUUAACCAGACGUAAGCUUGGUUUGUCUGGAGGCCUCUACAUUGCCAACAGACAAGGCAGUCAGCCACAGCUAUUGGUAAAACACCAUGAUCAGCUCUGAGACAGGCUGAAUGGCAAGGUGGACAGUUAUCCUGUGUUCAAAAUUCCCACUCCUUUUAUCCCCCAGGAGAAGUGCUAGAUAUCAGUGUGACUGUAUUCCUUAAUGUGUUUGACUGUUUAAGUAAACAGCCAGGUUUAACAUGCCAUCAAUAUAAUCUGACUUUUGUCAUUACUCGCACCAUUGGCCAAUAGGUAAAGCUUCAAAUGCCACCUUUCUUUCACAUUAAAACUCUGUGACAUCAAGAGGAACAACACCCAUAGGUCAGACAUUUCAGACUAGUUGUGUUUUAGGACCACCACCAGCUGGUGUUUCACUUCUCCAAUAACAACAACACAGAAGAUAAAGUUACUUAAAACAGAGAGUCUUGCACAUGAAGGAAAAUCAAGGUUGAAGCAGCAGCAUCCAUCCCCCUAAAAUACCAGUCAGAGUGAAAAGAUAGCAGCAAACCUUGCCUUCUUAUCCUUUGGCAUUUAUAGCUACAGCACCACCUUACACACAGCCAGCAUUACAACUUGCAUGUUGGGUUUCUAAGACAACAUUAACACUUUUAGAAAAGAAGGUACUGAAGUGAUUCCCUAAUAAGAUUCCAGAUUUGCUGUAGAGGUGCCAAAGUUGUGCUGCUGUGAGACAAGAAAACAGACUGAGAGCACUACCACAGGGCAUAAUGUGACCUCCUUGUAUGAGAACAGCCUCUAAACACAAAGCAGUUUCAUUUUCAGAGCAGAAGUGCUUCUGUGCUGCUCAGGAGCCUCACUCAGCCUGUUUGAGCAACUGGCUUUAAGUAUUUUAGGCAGGCCUGCUUCAGAGGUGCUCCAAUUCCAGUACUGGAAAAGAGUACAACACCACAAGAAACUUUCUCUUCAGCGUAGCUAUGAUCAGUUGUUAGCAUUAAUUCCCCUUCCCACUGAUCAACCAGGAAUUUUGAUUUUUGUCUGCAGGAAUUUUGGUUUUUUCCCAUCUGCUACAGAAGCUGUAGAUUUAAGGACAGAGCAGCAACAACUGCCUAUCACUUAGCAGACUUCUGAUGUAACAACAAACAAAGGAACUGCUUAACACCAUUGAUUUUGGCUGCCUCCAAGAUCCCUUUUUACAAAAAUAGAACUCCUGGUUGCUAAGCAUCUCACCUCCAAGACAAAAAUAAAAACAACCAAACACCUCAGCAUUUAAGCUCAUUGUGCUGUUACAUUUGCAGAACAACAGCAGUUUGGAAAACAAUUUGAGAAGAAUGUAAGAUGCCCUUUACCAACUCAGCUCAUGCACUUUGUUGGUCUCAAAUAGGUUCACCUCCAAUAAAUUAAAAAAAAAAAAAGUGAAGUUGUUCCACAAGUAGCAGAA